GUGCUUGCUUCAACAGCACAUAUACUAAAGUUGGAACGAUACAGAGAAGAUUAGCAUGGCCCCUAUACAAGGAUGACACACAAAUUUGUGUGUCAUAUUUAA
rnacentral:snRNA from 1 species